UUAUCAUGUAUUUUUGAUGUCACGUAACCAAUAUCUGCUUCUGUUUCUUGUAGGUUCGAGAGUUUAAUUAUGGAAUGGUUUAGCAAUUCCCUACCCAGGGGUGUAGUAAACACCCCAUCGCAUGACACGAAAUUUAAGAUAUUAUCAUCUCUCAUCCAAAGUUUAUCUCGACUCAACUGAAAUAACGGAUUAAAACGUCAUCAUCAGAAUCUUCAGCAAAAAACUCAACAUCGGUACUUCCUUGAAGACAGGUGACCAUAGGAGGCAACCUUCUUCUAAACUCAACAUCCGUACUUCCUUGAAGACAGGUGCCCAUAGGACGCAACCUUCUUCUUAGGGACAGGAUUCCACAGUAAGCGCUACCUUCCCAAAUCGGAAUGGAAGAGCCGACGCCAAAACUGGCCAUCUCUCUCCCCCUUCCGUUGUGGUCUAACAAAAGCUCUGCGGGUACGUUCUCAUCUUCCGCGUGGCCAGCUGGUCCACCAAAUACCCCCUUUGGAAGACAGGUGCCGAUAGGACGCAACCUUCUUCCCGGGGACCGUGCCUUCUCCAUCGAGGACACCUCCCCCUGGUACCGGACACCACAGUAAGCGGUUCCUUUCCUUUGGGACAGGCAACUAUAGUAAGCAGUUCCUUCCCUUCUCGAAGUGGAAGAGCAGACGCCAAAGCUGGCCAUCUCUCUUCCCAUUCCGUCAGCCUCUUUUUCAUUCAAGCGCUUUCCCCGGAGAAUUUUGAUCUUCUAGUAAUUCGAUCAUGUUAGCUAAAAGCUGACUAGGCCGAGCACCGAAUUCGCUAACAUUUUCUUUUUCGCGCUGGGCUAAUUUAGAAAGAGCCGGAUUAAGCUGGUUCAAGGUUCGACGCUCAGCAUAAGUAACUUUAAGAUGUUUCAAGCGAUCCUCUAGUGAAUUUACAUCACGAUCUGCAAGGGCAUUGUACGCAGCUCCUACUACCCUAGAACGCACUACCAAAAAUAAAUGAUUACGAUCUUCGGCUGCAAUAGAAUUUCUCGCGAAAAUGCAAUCCUUUAUAAAACGGCCCACUGACAUGUUUUCUCCGUCAAAUUUUGCUGGAAUAAAUGUGAGAGCGGUUUUGAACGGAAUUGGUUUCCCUGGUUCCUUAUCCGGGAGCGCAAAGAUACCGGAAAUACUUGCACUCGAAGAAGGUUCUGAGCAAGAAAAGCGUGAAGUGUUUGAGCGGGCAGGGGCACGAUAAACUGUUAAUGGAUUCCGUGCUGCGAUUUCUGAAUCUAAAUUUUCCAUAUUUUUUCUUAAAUUAACCUCCCUUUCUAAGUGAAAAUCAACAACAGAAUCAGCUUGCUCUAUUUCUUCCUCAUACUCUAGGUCAAAAUUAUCCCUAAUUGCUUGAGUGGAACCAGUGGGACGACCACGUGCGGUCCCCACUCCACGACUGCCAACUGACAGAUAGCUAGUUGCACCUCGUUUCUGCCCUGUCCCUCGCGAACUUUUCCCUGAUUAUGCACCUACAACCCUAGCAUCACCAGCUUUCUCUGUGAUUACCACAGCGCUAGCUCCUCGGCCACCCCUUGCAGCUUUGCUCCCUUUACUUCGCGUACGCAUUUUGAAUGAAAUGUUUGUUGACUCAACUGUUAAUAAGUAGGUAAAUAUCACCUCAAAAUAAUAAAUAUAAAUACAAAUAUUAAUAUUAUUAUUUUUUUCAGAUUUUACAGAACAACUAGAUUGCAAAUUUUCGAAAAAAUGUCUAACCCGAGAUUGGCUUCGCAACAGAACAAUAUAAAAGGGCAAAUCGACUUACUACUUCUGAUGGUCCAGGGUAUAAUCUAACCGGCAGCUCUGACCAAAAGGUCAGUUCUAAAAAAAAUGGUCAGUUCUAAAACUUGAUUAUGGGCAGUGCAAAAAUACAUUUCAAAAGUUGAUAGAGGGAGAAAAGAGAGAAAAAUUGGAGCACCUGCUACCGAAGCGCAGUCACAACGAUGUUGUUCAAAUUUAAACGAUAUGUUAGCACAUAACGGCCAUAAAAAGUGAGUUGAUUAAGUGAUUGAUUACGGCUAAAAUUUGUUCUAGGGAUGUACUACAAACACUACCAUGCGCAGAAAAAUCGGAUUUUCAAAUCCUUUUUUUUAUCUUUUUUUUAGUUUUCGUAUAAUAGGGAUUCGGUCAGUUCUAAAUGAGGCUUAGAUUAACAUUUUCACCGAUUUCACAAGAAAAUAAAAUCACCAACACUCGCGAAUCAGCCUCUUCGGAUGCCUAAAUUCCAGACUCCUUCGUAAGAUGUCCUUUUCCAGAAGAUUGCCGAUAAGCCUCGUCCUUGAAUGUCCUGUUCUUCUCCUUGUGCUGUCCUUCUAUUUUAGGUAUAUAUAUAAUUUUUCUUCUUCUUAGCCUGCAGUGAUCUAGGGGGAUGACUACGGGUCCCUUCAGAUUACUGUCUGCGAUCCCGGUACCUUUUGAUUGUACCCUAUGCCUCCAGGUCUAAAAACCCGUACAAAAACCUUGAGGGGGUGUCGCGGCUUUCAUUCCUCUUCCUUCAAUGAUCCACAUCACACGUCUUCUUCCGGUUCCCAAGUCGUCACACGUCUUCUUCACGACCUUUCCUAUCUUCUUCGGCUUUUUGACCUCUUUCUUGACGACUGAAGUCGAAGCUGGGUCGAUAGAUAGGAAAUAACAGUCUUCUUCUUUCCUCUUGUCCAAAAUGUCUUGAAAAACUGUCCUUUCGAAAAUUUUCGAAUAUCCAUUUAAAAAUCUUUUAUUUUUAUUUCAAAUAUCCUUGGAUAAUUUCAAAAAUGUCCUUAGAGAAUUUGGAAUGUCCUGGUGGGUAGUGAACUUCAGAAUCCUUCUUCUUUUAUACCUAUCACUCACUAAAAUUAUCACUCACUCAACUUAGUUUAUUUCACUCACUGUUUAUACAGUUCAAACACUUGUCUUUUUAUUUUCAAGGGAUUCCACAGCGAAAAGUUUGUGGAAUCCCACUUCUGACACCAUGUAACAAGCCGACAGUCUUUUACCGCGCGAAAGUUCAAAUAUUUUAGAUUUAAUAAGAGAAUAAUUAAUAAAAGUA